AAAUAAACAAUCCUAAGAGGUCCGGGUUCCAAGCUAAACACCUCCACCGUGGAGUUCCUCCUGGGGGUGUCCAAGAGGAAUCGCUUUAAGCUGAUAAGGCUACAGCAGUCCCAGAUGCCUGCAGACGGCUCUAUCACAGCCCUUCUGGCAGACUUGGCUUUGGUGGUGAUGAGCUUCAGGAUCAACUACAGGAUGCUCUCGCAUGCAUGUUUUGAUUCUUGCUGCACCAAUAAUAGACUGCACAGAGGAAGGAAGGUCCCCACUCUGUGCGGAGAAGUCUGGGACUCUGCAGUUCUCCAGAGGGAUCUGCAUGUCUGCCCAGCACAUCAUUCCCGGCCACGCUGGGGUUCAUGGGGCUUGGGUAUUUCUGCAUUGCAACUAUUGUAACAGUUUCCCAC
rnacentral:lncRNA from 1 species